rnacentral:rRNA from 1 species
GGACCCGCACAAGCAGCGGAGCAUGUGGUUUAAUUCGAUGCAACGCGAAAAACCUUACCAAGGCUUGACAUAGGAUGCAUAGUCAUGAAAGUGAUAAAGUUAUAGCAAUAUAACAUCCAUACAGAUGGUGCAUGGUUGUCGUCAGCUCGUGUCGUGAGAUGUUGGGUUAAGUCCCGCAACGAGCGCAACCCUUGUCAUUAGUUGCCAGCAUUAAGUUGGGGACUCUAGUGAGACUGCCGUAGAUAAUACGGAGGAAGGUGGGGAUGACGUCAAAUCAUCAUGCCUCUUACGCCUUGGGCUACACACGUGCUACAAUGGCCAUUACAAAGAGACGCAAUACCGCGAGGUGGAGCAAAACUCAAAAAAUGGUCUCAGUUCAGAUUGUAGGCUGCAACCCGCCUACAUGAAGUUGAAGUUGCUAGUAAUCCCGAAUCAGCAUGUCGGGGUGAAUGCGUUCCCGGGUCUU